rnacentral:lncRNA from 1 species
AAAGAAACAACAAAAUAAGCGCAGACAUAAUCACCAAUAAAAAAUUUAAGAAAAUAAGUUCAUACUUCAGUGGGGCACCUCCUUGAAUUAUGACAUGUCUUAUUGCAAAUACCACAAUGUGGUACUCUUCCUUUGCGACCAACCUUCUUCUUUGAGGGUGACUCAUAUAAUCCCUUAAUCCUAGCUUUUCCCUUAGGUCUUCCUGGAGGACGUUUGUAAGUCGGUCCAACAAUGCGUCCUCCUCCACAAUCACUCCAAAUUUUGUUCCAUUGACCGGCUUCAAAUCUUUCCGAUAAGUCUCUCUCCAUUUCUCCGUGCUGUAGUAGUCAGAGAUUUAGUCCUCAACCAAGCCGGUGUUCUCUCUGAUCGCACACACAACAUGACGACAUGGAAUGCCAGUUAGAUCCCACUUUCAACAUGCACAAGUCC